AGGAUGAACGCUGGCGGCGUGCUUAACACAUGCAAGUCGAACGAUGAAGCCGGAGCCUGCUCUGGUGGAUUAGUGGCGAACGGGUGAGUAACACGUGAGUAACCUGCCCUUGACUCUGGGAUAAGCGUUGGAAACGACGUCUAAUACCGGAUACGACGCGCGAAGGCAUCUUCUGCGCGUGGAAAGAAUUUCGGUCAAGGAUGGACUCGCGGCCUAUCAGCUAGUUGGUGAGGUAACGGCCCACCAAGGCGACGACGGGUAGCCGGCCUGAGAGGGUGACCGGCCACACUGGGACUGAGACACGGCCCAGACUCCGUACGGGAGGCAGCAGUGGGGAAUAUUGCACAAUGGGCGCAAGCCUGAUGCAGCAACGCCGCGUGAGGGACGACGGCCGUUCGGUUCGUUAAACCUACGUUUUAGUAGGAAGAAGACGAAAGUGACGGUACCUGCAAGAAAAAGACGAACCGGACCUAACUACGUACGCCGAACGCGACGCCGACGGUAAGUCGUG
rnacentral:rRNA from 1 species